UACGGAGGGUGCGAGCGUUGUCCGGAAUUACUGGGCGUAAAGUGUGCGCAGGCGGCCGAGCAAGUCGAGUGUGAAAGCCCCGAGCUUAACUUGGGAACUGCGCUCGAAACUACUUGGCUAGAGUGUGGCAGAGGGAGGUGGAAUUCCACGUGUAGCGGUGAAAUGCGUAGAGAUGUGGAGGAACACCGAUGGCGAAGGCAGCCUCCUGGGCCAACACUGACGCUCAUGCACGAAAGCGUGGGGAGCAAACAGG
rnacentral:rRNA from 1 species